rnacentral:rRNA from 1 species
UCGAGGAUCUUCGGCAAUGCGCGCAAGCGCGACCGAGCGACGCCGCGUGUGCGACGAAGGCCUUCGGGUUGUAAAGCACUGUCGAGGGGGAGGAAACCCGCAAGGGCUGACCGAUCCCUGGAGGAAGCUCGGGCUAAGUUCGUGCCAGCAGCCGCGGUAAGACGAACCGAGUGAACGUUGUUCGGAAUCACUGGGCUUAAAGGGCGCGUAGGCGGGCUGCCGCGUCCGGGGUGAAAUCCUCCGGCUCAACCGGGGAACGGCCUCGGGUACGGGCGGCCUCGAGGGGGGUAGGGGCGUGCGGAACUGUGGGUGGAGCGGUGAAAUGCGUUGAUAUCCACAGGAACUCCGGUGGGGAAGGCGGCACGCUGGACCCUCCCUGACGCUGAGGCGCGAAAGCCAGGGGAGCGAACGG